CACUGCUUGGGCGUAAGGGGGAGGGGCUGCCCUCGCCCAGUCGACGGUGACCACGCCCACUUUAGGGGAGGACCUCAGGAGCGACGUCACCAUCUCCUGCAUCCAUCUGAGUCGCGCCGAUUCCAGGUUAAACAAAAGCAGAUAUCACACAACGAAUGGGAAUUUCGAUGCCGACGGUGGCUAGGCUUCCAGGUGCCACAGACAACCUUUGGGCUGGCCAUCCCAAAUGCACAACUGAAGGAGACCAGGCAUGUGAAAUCCAUGAUAACAUGGAUAGAGAUUCGUGCAAGACACCGAGUGUUGCGUCUACACGCUCGCGCACUGACAAAGAAGCCCGAGGUGAUGACCUAGAAUAUGGAGAGGAGGAUGGAAUAUGCCUUGCAGUAUGCAGACAAGCCACAGGCAUUCUGGGAGAAAGCAAUCUGCGACGAGAAAACCUUUUUCCCGAAGGCACCAACACUGCGAGAUAUGUGCGGCGUUGACAGAACGCCAAAGAAUGUGACUGCGAGCAGGAGUGGCGAAGCACUGCAGGUUGUUUGGGUGGAGGCAUGUGAGUGCUGUCGCGGAAUGGACGGAUGACGGGCCUGGCCGAUUUACUGGCGGAAGAUAUGUUGAAAUCCUUGAGGAGGUUUUCCUACCAACAGCUAUGGCUAUAGUGUUUACAGACCUAUUCUAUCUUAUUCAGGACAACAACCCCAUCCAUACCAGCAGUGUUGUCAAGGAUUGGUUUCGUGAACACCUUGACAUCAUGCUGCUGCUGCUGCAAGACCAUACUCGCAAUCGUGUGGCAUUCGUAAAUAAUGCCUUGCAAACAUGGGACUGCCUAUGAUGUGAGGAAGGCCAUGCCUUAACAGGCGAGUUAGUGGCGUCUAUGCCUCGGCGCCUUAACUGUGGUUUGGCAGCAGGGGGUGGAAAGCAAAAUAUUAAACGAAUAUAUUACCAGUAUUUUUUUCCUUAUUUUAAUUAUAUUGGAAUUUAUCAAUAAUCAUUAAGUAAUAUGAUUGCAAUAAUGCGUGUGAGUUGCAUCUGUUAUCUCCAUUGUCUGGCAAUGCCAAGAGAUUAACGAUUAACGAUUAACUCAACAUUAAAAAUAUGUAUAAGAAAGCUAAUUGAUUAGUGACAACGUAUUAUAG